AUGACCUCCUGCAGAGAUGCUCGCCGCCUGUGCAGGGCCGUCUGUGCUGAGCUCGUGUCCUCCAGUCGUUGGUUGUCACCUGGUGGGGGUGUGAAGGGACCGGAUGUCUUCUGGAGCUGAAGUUCAGCAGGGCCGUCUGUGCUGAGCUCGUGUCCUCCAGUCGUUGGUUGUCACCUGGUACGUAGUUUAAACUCUCAGUCUGACGUACGAGUCGCUGUGAUGACGCUUUUUCCUGCCAUUCGUAGUUUCCAC
rnacentral:lncRNA from 1 species